rnacentral:rRNA from 1 species
UUCUGCCCCUAUGACAUUUCAUUCAUGCCCCUAUGAAAAGGUUAAGUCAGUGGUCACCCACUGAAGCUAAGCAGGGCUGCGCCUGGUCAGUAUCUGGAUGGGAGAUCACAUGGGAAAGCUAGGUUGCUGCCGGAA